rnacentral:tRNA from 1 species
UAGGUCCUAAGGUGUCACACACAUUUAAUUGCAAACUAAAAGUUAUCAAGGAAACUUGGUUAAGACCUUC